GACAGAGGGUGCAAACGUUGUUCGGAAUUACUGGGCGUAAAGCGCGUGUAGGCGGUCUCGCAAGUCGGAUGUGAAAGCCCAGGGCUCAACCCUGGAAGUGCACUCGAUACUGCGAGGCUAGAGUCCCGGAGAGGAUGGUGGAACUCUCGGUGUAGAGGUGAAAUUCGUAGAUAUCGAGAAGAACACCGGUGGCGAAGGCGGCCACCUGGACGGUGACUGACGCUGAGACGCGAAAGCGUGGGGAGCAAACAGG
rnacentral:rRNA from 1 species